rnacentral:rRNA from 1 species
CCGUACACAAAAGCGCAUGUGCUGUGAGCUCGAUGAGUAGGGCGGGACACGUGGUAUCCUGUCUGAAUAUGGGGGGACCAUCCUCCAAGGCUAAAUACUCCUGACUGACCGAUAGUGAACCAGUACCGUGAGGGAAAGGCGAAAAGAACCCCGGCGAGGGGAGUGAAAAAGAACCUGAAACCGUGUACGUACAAGCAGUGGGAGCACAGGUUUACCUGUGUGACUGCGUACCUUUUGUAUAAUGGGUCAGCGACUUAUAUUCUGUAGCAAGGUUAACCGAAUAGGGGAGCCGGAGGGAAACCGAGUCUUAAUUGGGCGUUAAGUUGCAGGGUAUAGACCCGAAACCCGGUGAUCUAGCCAUGGGCAGGUUGAAGGUUGGGUAACACUAACUGGAGGACCGAACCGACUAAUGUUGAAAAAUUAGCGGAUGACCUGUGGCUGGGGGUGAAAGGCCAAUCAAACCGGGAGAUAGCUGGUUCUCCCCGAAAGCUAUUUAGGUAGCGCCUCGUGAAUUCAUCUCCGGGGGUAGAGCACUGUUUCGGCUAGGGGGCCAUCCCGGCUUACCAACCCGAUGCAAACUGCGAAUACCGGAGAAUGUUAUCACGGGAGACACACGGCGGGUGCUAACGUCCGUCGUGAAGAGGGAAACAACCCAGACCGCCAGCUAAGGUCCCAAAGUCAUGGUUAAGUGGGAAACGAUGUGGGAAGGCCCAGACAGCCAGGAUGUUGGCUUAGAAGCAGCCAUCAUUUAAAGAAAGCGUAAUAGCUCACUGGUCGAGUCGGCCUGCGCGGAAGAUGUAACGGGGCUAAACCAUGCACCGAAGCUGCGGCAGCGAACGUAUCACCCAAGACAACUUUACGGAGUUGACGAUUGACGGAGCGAAGCGACGUCAAAGCGUUCAUUAAAGUCGAGUUGGCUUAGGGAUACGUUCGUUGGGUAGGGGAGCGUUCUGUAAGCCUGUGAAGGUGUGUCGUGAGGCAUGCUGGAGGUAUCAGAAGUGCGAAUGCUGACAUAAGUAACGAUAAAGCGGGUGAAAAGCCCGCUCGCCGGAAGACCAAGGGUUCCUGUCCAACGUUAAUCGGGGCAGGGUGAGUCGACCCCUAAGGCGAGGCCGAAAGGCGUAGUCGAUGGGAAACGGGUUAAUAUUCCCGUACUUGGUGUUACUGCGAAGGGGGGACGGAGAAGGCUAUGUUGGCCGGGCGACGGUUGUCCCGGUUUAAGCGUGUAGGUGUGUGUUCCAGGUAAAUCCGGUUCACUUUAACACUGAGGCGUGACGACGAGGCACUACGGUGCUGAAGCAACAAAUGCCCUGCUUCCAGGAAAAGCCUCUAAGCAUCAGGUAACAUCAAAUCGUACCCCAAACCGACACAGGUGGUCAGGUAGAGAAUACCAAGGCGCUUGAGAGAACUCGGGUGAAGGAACUAGGCAAAAUGGUGCCGUAACUUCGGGAGAAGGCACGCUGACACGUAGGUGAAGUGAUUUACUCAUGGAGCUGAAGUCAGUCGAAGAUACCAGCUGGCUGCAACUGUUUAUUAAAAACACAGCACUGUGCAAACACGAAAGUGGACGUAUACGGUGUGACGCCUGCCCGGUGCCGGAAGGUUAAUUGAUGGGGUCAGCGCAAGCGAAGCUCCUGAUCGAAGCCCCGGUAAACGGCGGCCGUAACUAUAACGGUCCUAAGGUAGCGAAAUUCCUUGUCGGGUAAGUUCCGACCUGCACGAAUGGCGUAAUGAUGGCCAGGCUGUCUCCACCCGAGACUCAGUGAAAUUGAACUCGCUGUGAAGAUGCAGUGUACCCGCGGCAAGACGGAAAGACCCCGUGAACCUUUACUAUAGCUUGACACUGAACAUUGAGCCUUGAUGUGUAGGAUAGGUGGGAGGCUUUGAAGUGUGGACGCCAGUCUGCAUGGAGCCGACCUUGAAAUACCACCCUUUAAUGUUUGAUGUUCUAACGUGGACCCGUAAUCCGGGUUGCGGACAGUGUCUGGUGGGUAGUUUGACUGGGGCGGUCUCCUCCUAAAGAGUAACGGAGGAGCACGAAGGUUGGCUAAUCCUGGUCGGACAUCAGGAGGUUAGUGCAAUGGCAUAAGCCAGCUUGACUGCGAGCGUGACGGCGCGAGCAGGUGCGAAAGCAGGUCAUAGUGAUCCGGUGGUUCUGAAUGGAAGGGCCAUCGCUCAACGGAUAAAAGGUACUCCGGGGAUAACAGGCUGAUACCGCCCAAGAGUUCAUAUCGACGGCGGUGUUUGGCACCUCGAUGUCGGCUCAUCACAUCCUGGGGCUGAAGUAGGUCCCAAGGGUAUGGCUGUUCGCCAUUUAAAGUGGUACGCGAGCUGGGUUUAGAACGUCGUGAGACAGUUCGGUCCCUAUCUGCCGUGGGCGCUGGAGAACUGAGGGGGGCUGCUCCUAGUACGAGAGGACCGGAGUGGACGCAUCACUGGUGUUCGGGUUGUCAUGCCAAUGGCACUGCCCGGUAGCUAAAUGCGGAAGAGAUAAGUGCUGAAAGCAUCUAAGCACGAAACUUGCCCCGAGAUGAGUUCUCCCUGAGACUUAGAGUCUCCUGAAGGAACGUUGAAGACGACGACGUUGAUAGGCCGGGUGUGUAAGCGCAGCGAUGCGUUGAGCUAACCGGUACUAAUGAACCGUGAGGCUUAACCUUACA